rnacentral:rRNA from 1 species
GAUUGAACGCUGGCGGCAGGCCUAACACAUGCAAGUCGAGCGGAUGAAGGGAGCUUGCUCCUGGAUUCAGCGGCGGACGGGUGAGUAAUGCCUAGGAAUCUGCCUGGUAGUGGGGGAUAACGUCCGGAAACGGGCGCUAAUACCGCAUACGUCCUGAGGGAGAAAGUGGGGGAUCUUCGGACCUCACGCUAUCAGAUGGGCCUAGGUCGGAUUGGCUAGUUGGUGGGGUAAAGGCCUACCAAGGCGACGAUCCGUAACUGGUCUGAGAGGAUGAUCAGUCACACUGGAACUGAGACACGGUCCAGACUCCUACGGGAGGCAGCAGUGGGGAAUAUUGGACAAUGGGCGAAAGCCUGAUCCAGCCAUGCCGCGUGUGUGAAGAAGGUCUUCGGAUUGUAAAGCACUUUAAGUUGGGAGGAAGGGCAGUAAGUUAAUACCUUGCUGUUUUGACGUUACCAACAGAAUAAGCACCGGCUAACUUCGUG